GCGCCCGUAGCUCAACUGGAUAGAGUGUCUGGCUACGGACCAGAAGGUUGUGGGUUCGAAUCCUACCGGGCGUA
rnacentral:tRNA from 1 species